rnacentral:rRNA from 1 species
UACAGAGGGUGCGAGCGUUGUCCGGAAUCACUGGGCGUAAAGGGCGCGUAGGUGGCCCGACAAGUCACUGGUGAAAGCUCGAUGCUCAACAUCGAGUCGGCCAGUGAUACUGUUGGGCUGGAGCACUGUAGGGGCUAAUGGAAUUCCGGGUGUAGCGGUGGAAUGCGUAGAGAUCCGGAAGAACACCGGUGGCGAAGGCGGGUCUCUGGGCCGAAACUGACGCUGAGGAGCGAAAGCGUGGGGAGCAAACAGG